rnacentral:pre_miRNA from 1 species
UUAGUACUCCCUCCGUCCCAAAAUUCUUGUCUUAGAUUUAUCUAGAUACAGAUGUAUCUAACACUAAAACAUGAAUAGAUACAUCCAUAUCUAGACAAAUCUAAGACAAGAAUUUUGGGACGGAGGGAGUAUUUU